rnacentral:rRNA from 1 species
UGGGGAAUAUUGGGCAAUGGGGGAAACCCUGACCCAGCAACGCCGCGUGAAGGAAGAAGGCCCUCGGGUUGUAAACUUCUUUUACCAGGGACGAAGGACGUGACGGUACCUGGAGAAAAAGCAACGGCUAACUACGUGCCAGCAGCCGCGGUAAUACGUAGGUGGCGAGCGUUGUCCGGAAUUACUGGGUGUAAAGGGAGCGCAGGCGGGACAGCAAGUUGGAUGUGAAAUACCGAGGCUUAACUUCGGAGCUGCAUCCAAAAACUGUUGUUCUUGAGUGGAGUAGAGGCAAGCGGAAUUCCGAGUGUAGCGGUGAAAUGCGUAGAUAUUCGGAGGAACACCAGUGGCGAAGGCGGCUUGCUGGGCUCUAACUGACGCUGAGGCUCGAAAGUGUGGGGAGCAAACAGGAUUAGAUACCCUGGUAGU